UGGGAACGUGCCUUUUGGUUCGGAACAACCCAGGGAAACUUGGGCUAAUACCGGAUAAGCCCUUACGGGGAAAGAUUUAUCGCCAAAAGAUCGGCCCGCGUCUGAUUAGCUAGUUGGUGGGGUAAUGGCCACCAAGGCUACGAUCAGUAGCUGGUCUGAGAGGAUGAUCAGCCACACUGGGACUGAGACACGGCCCAGACUCCUACGGGAGGCAG
rnacentral:rRNA from 1 species